rnacentral:sRNA from 1 species
GAGAGGAGGCCCCACGUGAUGCGAAGCAGCACGUUAUAAUGGGGCCGACGACCUGCCGCCGACGCUGAAAGCGGAGGGGGCGAUACCAUAU